GGGGAUGCUUGGUAUCGACAGGGAGUGAAGGUCGUAGAUUGCAAGCCGUGCCGCCCAGUCACGUUAAAGGGGCAAACGCCAAAAUAACUGGCAACAACAACAACAUGGGCCGCAUGGCCCUCGCUGCCUAAUAACAGGUAGCCGCCCCCAUUGGUUCGCUCGAUGAUCAAUGGCUCGGCGUCAACAAGUCGAGUGCUCCCUCGGUGACCACCUGCUGGCCAAGGGAAAAGACAAGCGGGUUUGCCCAAAAGUCGCUUUGCUCAUUGAGCGGCUGCGGGCGAGCUACAAUCAAUGGGCUAAGCUUGUAGUAUGUCUACGGUUUAGCUUUCUGGACGGGGGUUCGACUCCCCCCAUCUCCACCA
rnacentral:tmRNA from 1 species